CCUACGGGGGGCAGCAGUGAGGAAUAUUGGUCAAUGGCCGGAAGGCUGAACCAGCCAAGCCGCGUGAAGGACGAAGGUGCAGAGCAUUGUAAACUUCUUUUGUCAAGGGAAAAAAUCAGGCUCGAGAGCCAGACCGAGGGUACGUGAAGAAAAAGCAUCGGCUAACUCCGUGCAAGCAGCCGCGGUAAUACGGAGGAUGCGAGCGUUAUCGGGAUUUAUUGGGUUUAAAGGGUGCGCAGGGGGUCUGUUAAGUCAGCGGUAAAAGCCAGGGGCUAAACCCCGGCGCGCCGUUGAAACUGGCUGUCUCGAGUUGUGGAGAGGUAGGCGGAAUGCGCGGUGUAGCGGUGAAAUGCGUAGAUA
rnacentral:rRNA from 1 species